rnacentral:lncRNA from 1 species
AUGUUGAUGCAAAAACAGUGUGAUUUUAUAUAUGUAUGUAUGUAUGUAUAUGUUAAUAUUUUAUUGAAACCAUUGAUGUCCCUCUUUGCAGAACUCAAACUAACUGGAGUUAAGGACACACAAGUCUGCUUGUGUGAGGAGGUGGUUUUCUCAGCUUCUUCUGAAGAGAGGGAAAGAUCGUUUAAGAUGUUAAAAGCAAGAGACAUGGGAGAUCAUCAUUCCCUUGAGAUUUUAUAACUCAAACCAACUUUGGAGUUGUCUGAUUUGGAGAGUCAUUAUUCUUGGUCUGCGCUCUUAGAGGUAAAGUUCACACAAAAAAUCAUUUACUUGCCCUCAAGUCAUUCCAAACCUAUAAGACUUUUGUCUGUCUUUACAACAUAAAUUAAUAUAUUUUUAGUUUUCUCAUAAUAUUUGUUAAUCCAUUUAUAGUUUAGAUAAUCUGUAUUUUCAAGCUUCAUAAAUAUAGAGUUAUUGUAGAAGUAAAUUCUGAUAUUUAUAUAUGAAUACAUCUUAAAUUAUAUGAUAGCAAACAUGUAUGUUCAAAAUAAAAUAUUGGUCUCCCAGACCAGCAAUGGAGGACACAAAAAGAGAAUAUUAAAUAUAUUCAUAUGUUUUCCAAAAAAUGAACAGGGUUUGUAUGAGUCUGGAAAAACAUGAGGAGAGUAAAUUAUAAACAUUUUAAUUAUUUGGUGUACUAACGGUUUGAAGAGCAGCCCUCCAUGUACGUGAAUAUUGUGAGGUAUGUGAAUGUCAUGUCUGUUUUAAUGUUUCAGUAAAGAAGCUUUCUGAAAGCAAUAUUUAUUCAAACAAUAUCGCAUGUCCUCACACUAGUGCUGCCAUUAUAGCAUUCUGGAGCGCUGUGGUGGACUGAGACAUUAAACAACCACACUAAGUGUUGAAACUUUAAAACAGAUUAUUUACCUAUCCUUACAGAUGUGAAUAAACCUCUACCUGAAAAUGGAUAGUUUAAUUAAAUGUUUAAUUUUUUCAAAUGUGUUUCUCUUAGGCCACUGAUGAAGAGCAGGCGGUGACUGGGAUGAAUGCUGGUCAGAGAGGAGAAUCUUCUUUCCCCUAAACUGAUGCAGCGGUGGUUUUAAAGGAGGACGCUGCCCUGGAUGAUGUAGAAGAUGUCACAUGCUGUGCUGAUGGGGUUUCUUCAUGAUUACAUCAGUUAUGCUAAAGAGAUCAUGAAAAUUGACAGUGAUGCAUGAUCUGUAUUCAUGGACUAUGAAACAAACUGUAAGUGUAUAAUUUGUUAAAAAAAAAAAGUUAAAUGCUUUUUCUGUGUUGUUUAGUAGAAAAGUUUACACUCUGUCAUUCAUACACCUGCUAACAUUCUUUCACACACACACACACACACACACACACACACACGCAUCUGUUAAAGGUUAUAAUAUCAAAGUUAAUGUUGUGAUUUAUUUGUGUACUGUCAUGCCAGAAUAGUUGGAAAAACAACUAAUUGUAAAUUUAUUGUAUGUGUUUUCGUAUAUUUUUAUACAAUAUAUACAAUUGAACAAAGUCCAAUUUGAUCUUAAGUUAUAUUCAUCAAAUGUUCAAUGCUUUGUUUAUGAACUCUGUAGCUGUUAAUGCCAUCCUUUUCUGCAUUUCUUCUAACAUGUUACUUUUUGACUUUUCUCUUGUUUUUAAUAAAUAUUUUCCUUUUGGUAAUUAUUAUUUGUGUGUAAAAGUGAUAUUUAAAAUGAACAACAUUUGUAGGUUUAAUGCCUAGCUCAAUUUGGGUUAAUUUUAACGUAGAAAUGCAUUGUUUCCCCACAUGGCUGCACUCUGCGAGUUUAUUUUCUGCCAGCAGGAGGCGCUAAGAGCGGGAGAGGUAGGUUUCUCCGGUAACGGCUGCAGAGCGGUGCUGAGCUCACAAACGCUGCCUUAUCAAGCACAUGCGAAAUGAUAUCGAACAUUUUCUAAAUACAGUAGUUUUCCUUCUGAAAUACAGUGAUAAAAAAACACCCGCUCUGUUUUUUUAAACCCUGCAAUAUAGUCAUUUUAAACCAUAAAAAAGGCAACCCAGCAGGCUGGGUUAAAUAUGAUAACCCAACUGGUUGGGUUAAAACAACCCAGCGCUGGGUUCGUCCCUUUUUGACCCAGCGCUGGGUUGUCAAAAUAACCCAAAUUGGGUUAUUUUCAACCCAGCAGUUUUUAGAGUGUAUUAAGCCAGAGCUUGAUAAAACAAAAUCUGUGAUGACAGCUUGUUAUCUUUGUCAUUUAAUGCAAUAAAACGCUUGUGGGAUCGAUGGGACAUGGCGAGCGCCGAGUACAUAAACAUGAAAGCUAAUCGUGUUGAAUUCUGAUGACGCUGAUUAUCUCAGACAAUGAUGGCCUGAGCGCUGGCAGAGUCCUGCUUCAUUUCCUACCGGUUAUUCAGAGUCUCAUUUUCUGAAUCCAAACAAGCAGCGGUGCAUAAUGGAGCCUAGCAUGUGAAUGCUAUGGAGUCUCUGUGAACAGGCCGCUCCUCCUCGAGCUGCGGUUGCUGUUGGCAUGUGUCUGUGCUGACAGCGCUGAUGUGAACCUGAUGACAGAAAUCAUGUGAACGCUCUUAUCGUGACGCUUAUCGUAAAUAUUAGAGCAAUCACAGCAGCUAUUAGGCUACUUGGCUACAAAACUGUGUUGUUUACAUGCCUAUGGCUAGAACCAGAACUGAUUAAUGGUAAUAGCAGCACAUCAACAGCCAUUUGGGAAUCGUGAAGGUCGUUAUUUAAACAGUUCGACCAGAAAUUAAAAUCUGCUGAAAAGAUGCUCACCCUCAAGUCAUCCAAGAUGUAGAUGUGUUCGUUUCUUCACCAAAUUUGGAGAAAUGUAGCAUUGCAUCAGUGUCUCAUCAAUGGAUGCUGGAUGGAGUGAAUGGGUGCCGUCAGAAUGAGAGUCCAAACAGCUGAUAAAAACAUCACGAGUUAUCCACACCACUCCAGUCCAUCAGUCUUGUGUGUUUGUAAGAAACAAAUCCAUCAUUAAGACGACUUUAGCCGAAAUACGAAUUCCUAACCCAUGCAUCCUCCAGUAAAAAAAAGAGAUCUGGUCUGAAUCAGGAGAUAAAUAUGUAAGCACGGUUUACAAGCCAAAAUAGAUCUAAACAAGUGUGCGGGGAAACAAGAGAUAAACGUUUUCACCAAAUGAAAGCGUUAUUAUGGAUUAUGGACUCGUAUUUUAAUAAAAACAUUUUUUUAUUACAAACAUGCAGUUUUUUUGCUUCACAAAACGUUAAUUGAUGGACUGGAGUGGUGUGGAUUUUUUGUGGAUUAUUGUGAUGUUUUUAUCAGCUUUUUCGAGCUCUCAUUUUGGCGGCACCCAUUGACUGCAG